rnacentral:lncRNA from 1 species
UCCCUCCCUCCCUCCCUCCCUCCCUCCCUCCCUCCCUCCCUCCCUCCCUCCCUCCCUCCCUCCCUCCCUCUCUGUCUGUCUGUGUUUGUGUCUGUCUCUCUCUCUCUCUCUCUCUCUCUCUCUAAUUUAGACUCUACUACACCUGAGGACAGCACUAGAGAACAAAUAACUACAGUUGAUAACACAACACAACUGACCACAGUUACCAGUAGGUAUCAUCAUGUUCUGGAGAACAACAUUUGUGUUUCUCCCCUGCUGUAGACGCUAAAACAACUGCACCCACAACAGGACAAAGUACUACGGCUGACCUCACAACACAACUGGCCACAAGUUACCUGGAAAUACAGUCAUUAACUGCUGAAAAUCAUUUAUUCUGAACCUCAGUUCCUCACACAUUUGUCACAAUUUCUGUUUCUCUCUUGUUAAGACUCUACGACACCUGAGGCCAGCACUACAGAACAAAUGACCAAAGUUACCAGUAAGUUUCAUCAAGUUCUGGAGAACAAAACUUGUCUGAAGCAGAGUUCACCACCAAACGAUCUGACAUUCAAUCACCAUGUUUCUUCCCUUCUGUAGACUCUACAACAACUCCACCCACAACAGGACAAAGUACUACAGCUGACCCCACAACACAACAGACCACAGUUACCAACUUUACUACACCUGCAGCUACAACAAAUCAGACCACUGCAGUUGACCCCACAACACAACCGACCACAGACACUAGAACUACAGUAACUACUGAACCACCACCAGCAACUACAAAAACGACACCACCAACAACAAUACCACCACCAACAACAAUACCACCACCAACACCACCAACAACAAUACCACCACCAACAACAAUACCACCACCAACACUACCAACAACAGUACCACCACCAACAACAACAACACCACCACCAACUACAAAACCAGCUGGUAUGUGUAAGAAUAGAAGAUGUUUCUGAACACUGCUAAAUGAAUCCUGAUUAUGCCAUGAUUAUGAAAGAACAUGAAUCAAUCAUGAACCCUGAUGGGUGAGAAGGUUACAGAGGCUACAACAAAACAUGUUAACCUCUCACCAUUAGCAAUAGCAUUUUUGGGGUGUAUGAUGUGCCUCUGUUAAUUUCUCAGUCAUUAUUAUUCACGAUUCAUUCACGAUUAUCCAUAAUCAUGGUAGCAUCCACAUUCAUGUAGAAGUGUUCAGAGACAUCUUCUAUUCUUACUUACAAUAAAAGGGUCUCCAAAAUGACACAAUGCAUUAUUCACCAUUCAGUUCCUAUAGGGAAAAAUAUAAUCUGAAACACAAACAAAACAUUAUGCAAAGGAAUAUGGGAACAAAUACCACACUUAUGACUACUUUACUACACUAUAAGUACAUUUUUCUCAAAUGUGGGGACUAGAUACAGUGGGGCAAAAAAGUAUUUAGUCAGCCACCAAUUGUGCAAGUUCUCCCACUUAAAAAGAUGAGAGAGGCCUGUAAUUGUCAUCAUAGGUACACUUCAACUAUGACAGACAAAAUGAGAAGAAAAAAUCCAGAAAAUCACAUUGUAGGAUUUUUAAUGAAUUUAUUUGCAAAUUAUGGUGGAAAAUAAGUAUUUGGUCACCUACAAACAAGCAAGAUUUCUGGCUCUCACAGACCUGUAACUUCUUCUUUAAGAGGCUCCUCUGUCCUCCACUCGUUACCUGUAUUAAUGGCACCUGUUUGAACUUGUUAUCAGUAUAAAAGACACCUGUCCACAACCUCAAACA